AUUGAACGCUGGCGGCAGGCCUAACACAUGCAAGUCGAGCGAGCGGCGGACGGGUGAGUAAUUUCUGGGAAACUGCCUGAUGGAGGGGGAUAACUACUGGAAACGGUAGCUAAUACCGCAUACCAUCAGAUGUGCCCAGAUGGGCUUGGCUAGUAGGUUGGGUAACGGCUCACCUAGGCGACGAUCCCUAGCUGGUCUGGGAGGAUGACCAGCCACACUGUACCUGAGACACGUUCCAGACUCCUACGGGAGGCAGCAGUGGGGAAUAUUGCACAAUGGGCGCAAGCCUGAUGCAGCCAUGCCGCGUGUGGGAAGAAGGCCUUCGGGUUGUAAAGCACUUUCAGCGGGGAGGCGUUACCCGCAGAAGAAGCACCGGCUAACUCCGUGCCAGCAGCCGCGGUAAUUC
rnacentral:rRNA from 1 species